rnacentral:rRNA from 1 species
GUGGGGAAUCUUCCGCAAUGGACGAAAGUCUGACGGAGCAACGCCGCGUGAGUGAAGAAGGUUUUCGGAUCGUAAAGCUCUUUCGUUAGGGACGAACGUGCUCUUUGUGAAUAAUGAGGAGUAAUGACGGUACCUAAAUAAGAAGCCACGGCUAACUACGUGCCAGCAGCCGCGGUAAUACGUAGGUGGCAAGCGUUGUCCGGAAUUAUUGGGCGUAAAGCGCGCGCAGGCGGGAUAUCAAGUCUGUCUUAAAAGUGCGAGGCUCAACCUCGUGAGGGAACAGAAACUGGUAUUCUUGAGUGUCGGAGAGGAAAGUGGAAUUCCAAGUGUAGCGGUGAAAUGCGUAGAGAUUUGGAAGAACACCAGUGGCGAAGGCGACUUUCUGGACGAUGUCUGACGCUGAGGCGCGAAAGCUAGGGGAGCGAACGGGAUUAGAUACCCUAGUAGUCC